rnacentral:rRNA from 1 species
GUACUGUGCGAACGUUAUUCGGAAUCACUGGGCUUAAAGGGUGCGUAGGCGGUUGAUUAAGUAGGGUGUGAAAGCUCUCGGCCUAACCGAGGAAUUGCGCUCUAAACUGAUCGGCUUGAGUGAGAUAGGGGUGUGCGGAACUUCCAGUGGAGCGGUGAAAUGUGUUGAUACUGGAAGGAACGCCGGUGGCGAAAGCGGCACACUGGGUCUCAACUGACGCUGAGGCACGAAAGCCAGGGUAGCGAACGGGGGAUUAGAUACCCCGGUAGUCCUGGCUGUAAACGAUGAGCACUAGACGGGAGGAGCUUCGGCUCAUCCGGUCGCAGCGAAAGCAAUAAGUGCUCCGCCUGGGAGUAUGGUCGCAAGGCUG